UACAGAGGGUGCAAGCGUUGUUCGGAAUUAUUGGCGUAAAGGGCGCGUAGGCGGUGCGGUAAGUCUUUGUGAAAUCUCCGGGCUCAACUCGGAGUCUGCAGGAGAAACUGCCGUGACUGGAGUAUGGGAGAGGUGAGUGGAAUUCCCGGAUGUAGCGGUGAAAUGCGUAGAUAUCGGGAGGAACACCUGUGGCGAAAGGCGGACUCACUGGACCAUU
rnacentral:rRNA from 1 species